UGGGCGUAAGGGCUCGCAGGCGGUUUCUUAAGUCUGAUGUGAAAGCCCCCGGCUCAACCGGGGAGGGUCAUUGGAAACUGGGAAACUUGAGUGCAGAAGAGGAGAGUGGAAUUCCACGUGUAGCGGUGAAAUGCGUAGAGAUGUGGAGGAACACCAGUGGCGAAGGCGACUCUCUGGUCUGUAACUGACGCUGAGGAGCGAAAGCGUGGGGAGCGAACAGGAUUAGAUACCCUGGUAGUCCACGCCGUAAACGAUGAGUGCUAAGUGUUAGGGGGUUUCCGCCCCUUAGUGCUGCAGCUAACGCAUUAAGCACUCCGCCUGGGGAGUACGGUCGCAAGACUGAAACUCAAAGGAAUUGACGGGGGCCCGCACAAGCGGUGGAGCAUGUGGUUUAAUUCGAAGCAACGCGAAGAACCUUACCAGGUCUUGACAUCCUCUGACAACCCUAGAGAUAGGGCUUUCCCUUCGGGGACAGAGUGACAGGUGGUGCAUGGUUGUCGUCAGCUCGUGUCGUGAGAUGUUGGGUUAAGUCCCGCAACGAGCGCAACCCUUGAUCUUAGUUGCCAGCAUUCAGUUGGGCACUCUAAGGUGACUGCCGGUGACAAACCGGAGGAAGGUGGGGAUGACGUCAAAUCAUCAUGCCCCUUAUGACCUGGGCUACACACGUGCUACAAUGGACAGAACAAAGGGCUGCAAGACCGCAAGGUUUAGCCAAUCCCAUAAAUCUGUU
rnacentral:rRNA from 1 species